GAUGAAGAACGUAGCGAAAUGCGAUAAGUAAUGUGAAUUGCAGAAUUCAGUGAAUCAUCGAAUCUUUGAACGCACAUUGCGCCCGCUAGUAUUCUGGCGGGCAUGCCUGUUCGAGCGUCAUUUCAACCAUCAAGCCCCAGGCUUGUGUUGGGGGCCUGCGGCUGCCGCAGCCCCUGAAAAGCAGUGGCGGGCUCGCUGUCAUUCCGAGCGCAGUAGUUACAUCUCGCUCCGGGCGUGGCGGUGGGCACCUGCCGUGAGACACUCCUUCUAAGGUUGACCUCGGAUCAGGUAGGAAUACCCGCUGAACUUAAGCAUAUCAAUAAGCGGAGGA
rnacentral:misc_RNA from 1 species